GAGCCAGACUCCUACGGGAGGCAGCAGUGAGGAAUAUUGGUCAAUGGGCGAGAGCCUGAACCAGCCAAGUCGCGUGAGGGAAGACGGUCCUAUGGAUUGUAAACCUCUUUUGUCGGGGAGCAAAAAGGCCUCGUGAGGCCACAAGUGAGAGUACCCGAAGAAAAAGCAUCGGCUAACUCCGUGCCAGCAGCCGCGGUAAUACGGAGGAUGCGAGCGUUAUCCGGAUUUAUUGGGUUUAAAGGGUGCGCAGGCGGCGCGGCAAGCCGGCGGUCAAAUCGCGGGGCUCAACCCCGCCCAGCCGUCGGAACUGCCGGGCUAGAGUGGGCGAGAAGUGCGCGGAAUGCGUGGUGUAGCGGUGAAAUGCAUAGAUAUCACGCAGAACCCCGAUUGCGAAGGCAGCCUUCCGGCGCCCUACUGACGCUGAGGCACGAAAGUGCGGGGAUCGAACAGGAUUAGAUACCCUCGUAA
rnacentral:rRNA from 1 species